GUCAGUGGUAUUUCUGACUAUAUCCUCAGUAUAACACUUGUCUGUUUACCUUAUAGCUCAAUCUGCAAAUGAAGAACCACAAACUGAAGUUCAGUACUCUGAGAUAUUACACAGUGAUAUAAGGCUAAGACAGGGACACGGACCACACAUACCAGAACUGGAUACCGAAGGAGAAGAGCCACCAUUAACCUCCAUCUAUGCCAAAAUUCAACCCCAUUCCCCAGAGGCCACUGGCACAGACAGUAAUGUGACGGGGAGUGGAAGCACUGUCUUGGGUCGCCUCUGAAAGUAAUUUCACUGCUUUGUACUGUGCACUAUACAUAUGCCAUACCAUAGCCAACCAUAUAGGCUAAAUCAAAAAGUGCUGGACGAUAAGAGAUCAGUUCAAAUAGUUUUUUACCUUAAGGCAAGCUAUCCACACAAUCAAUUAUUUAAAGGGUAUUUUGUCCAAUGACUAGUCAUAAUGAGGGCCCUGUUUUCACAGGACAUUAUUAUUUAGAAGCAGAGAAGAGAGCAAACUUCUGUGGCACAUAUUAUUUUGUAAAAGUCUCAUGUUUAUAUUUGACACAUCACAUUGCUAUACUCAGCACAAUUGCCAACUACCACAACAUCAAGAAUUUAUCUGGAAAAGUGGUCAUGACUCUACUGCUAUGAAUGAGAUAAACCACAAAUAUGGGUCUUACAUUUCAUUUGGAAGACACUUUGAGCUAAGGUGACUAUGUAUAAAGACAUCAGACAUUCGGUUUGGGUAAUGUUAAGAAGCUCAACUCAUCACCCAAGCCAUGCUAUCUGGCUUUAACAUUUAGUAGUGUAGUCAGUGGUAAUUCAGUCCAUGUGGAUUUCAGUUGGUCUCAUUUGUUUAUUCUAGCAGGAUGUGCCUUGCAGCUGUCAGUUAGACACACCUGCUCACAGGGGAAUUCCUGUUCCCUUUAUCCUUUCAGAAGUGUAACAUGAAUAUCUGUAUCCAUUCACAACCAUUUCAAUAAAAGAGACUUCUCCGCUUUCA